AAGAGCUCAAUGCUGAACAUUUCCAACAUUCUUAAAUUCUUCUACCUAAUUCUACCUAACACAUUUCCUACUCUUGUCUAGAUGAAUCUACUAAAAACAAGGGGAAUCAAUAUAAGCCAAAAGUCAAUAUGAUGAGGUCACAGAGUCAUGGAAUUUCAGUGUUAGAAAGGUCCUCAGAGGCAAUCUAGUUCAACUCAUACCUAAACAAGAAUGGGACAUAGAUGUCAAGUUUAUUGAAGGAUGUCUCUAUCUACCCAGAAUGAAUUUGAAGCAACAAGAUGAAGAUUUAAAGCAGCCUUAAGCACCACUGGAAAAAACCAACAAUAGUUAUUUAUAUACUCGGCUUUCUGGAGAUACACUGGUUAUGGCAUCACCCCACUUUCCUUUCCACACCCUUUCUGAAAGUCAAAGUAAAUGCCCAGACCAGCACUGAGCAUAAAGCCUGACACAUUGCAGGAAGUCGCCAAACCCACACUGUCUGACAGAGUUGCAGCUGGAGAAUGAAAGCUGCAAAGCAGCCUUCAGAAAAGAUGAGGUAUCCAUUCAACCCCCUCUAUGUGACUUCUCCCACUAACUUCCUUUACUACUGGCUAGGAUUUGAUCUCUCCCCAGUUACAGGAGAAGUAAUAUGAGAGCAAAUACUCACAGGAUUUAUACAUAUGUCCCCCUGAAGUCCCUCUAGAAUAAUACCCUAAAGAUUAUAUUCACAGAAAUAAAACCUAAAGAUCAUUACCCACCAUCCCCUCCUUUCUCUCUCAGCAAAAUCACAUUCAGAUUCUCCACACCCAUUGCAAGCCAAACACACAGGUACAUCAAUCACUCCUGUAAGCACAAGCUGCUGUGACAUACUUCACUGAUACUGUUUGUGUACAAUAACCAGGUAACAUUGUUAUGGUGCUUUAAUGAAACACAAGAAAAAUCUAACACUAAAAUUGAGGAAAUUCCUGAUUCUGGUCUGUCUUAAAUUACUCUUUAACCCCAUACCUAGCUGUGAAAUGUUUUGUUACCUAUCGCCUAAGUAACUAUGAUUGAUUACGAAAGCUGAUUAAAAGCGACAAUGAUUCUCUUAGCUGGUCAUCCCACAGUUUGGGGGAACUGACCCCCUGGUUACCCUGCCCCUAUCACAUAUUUCUCUGUUGUGGCAACAUGAUAUGCAAGGUGAUCAUAGAAUGUUAAUUAAACAAUCUGUUAGAAAUUAAUGUGUGACAUAUCCAAUUACCUACAAGAAAUUAUAUAUGUUGAAAAAUGACUGUGUGCCAGAAAAGCAUGUAACCACUGAGCUAUAGUAUAUAAUAAACAUGAACCCUGUGCCUGGCGGAAUAGCUUUGUGAUGCCUGAGCACCAGGUUCUGAGAACCCAGCUGUCUCCCACUCAUCAUUCGCCUGAGUUGUCUGACCUAGCCACAAGCAAUCCUCGGUUUCAAGAAACCACAGGUCGACUCUCGAAAAUUUUUAAAUUUGUCUUCUUCCAAAAAAUGACAAAUAUGGAAAUAUGUUUUGUAGGAUAGCACAGGUAUAACUAAUAACAAAUUGCUUUCAGAAGGUGGGAGGAAGAAAGAGAAUAUGAUGUCAGAAAACUAACACCAAAAAUUGUUUUUACAUGUAAAUGGGAAAAAUAAAGCAAGCAAGCAUUUGUUGAGUAAAAAAAUAAGAUAACUAUGGAACAUCCAUUUUGAUUUUUUUAAUUUUAUUUAAUUAGAUGAUUUAGAAUAAUUUUCCAUGGUUACAAGACUCAUAUUCCUUCCCUUCCCUCUCUCCAUCACCCUCCUACAAUUCCACUGGGUUUAACAUGUGCCAUCGAUCAAGAUCCAUUUCCUUAUUAUUAGUAUUUGCACUAGGGGUGAUCUUUUAGAGUUCACUUUCCCAGUCAUAUCCCCACUGACCCAUGUGAUCAAGUGGUCAUUUUUCUUCUGUGUUUCUUUUCCCACAGUUCUUCCUCCGGAUGCGGAUAGCUUUCUUUCUCAUAUGUCCCUCCAAAUAGUUCUGGAUCAUUGUAUUGCUACUAGUAGAAAAGUCCAUUACAUUUGAAUUUACUUCAUUGCAUCAGUCUCUGUGUACCAUGUUCUCCUGGUUCUGCUCCUUUCACUCUGCAUCAAUUCCUGGAGGUCCUUCCAGUUCACAUGGAAUUCCUCCAGUUUAUUAUUCCUUUGAGGACAAUAGUAUUCCAUCACCAACAUAUACCACAAUUUGUUCACUCAUUCCCCAAUUGAAGGGCAUCCCCUCAUUUUCCAAUUUUUUGCCACCACAAACUGCGUGACUAUGAAUAUUCUUGUACAAGUCUUUUUCCUUAUUAUCUCUUUGGGGUACAAGCCCAACAGUGCUAUGGCUGGCUCAAAGGACAGACAGUCUUUUAGGGCCCUUUGAGCAUAGUGGAACAUCCAUUUUGAGAUGUGAGGUUGGGGAUUGGCAGAAAGAUAAAGCUAGAUAAGGAGAUUUGAGAAUCACUGGUAUAUAAGCAAUAACUGAAUACAUGGGAGCCAAAUCAAGUGAAAUAGUAUAGAAGGAAAAAAGAAGGCCAGGCAAGAGCUUUAUGGGUCAUACACAGUUGAAAAGUGUGAUCCAAGAAUCAGCAAAAGAGAUGGAAAGAACUCUUGGAUAGGCAGCAGAGGAGAGUCCUUAAAACCUAGAAUGUGGAGGCAGCUGGGUAGCUCAGUGGAUUGAGAGCCAGCCCUAGAGACAGGAGGUCCUAGGUUCAAAUCUGGCCUCAGACACUUCCCAGCUGUGUGACCCUGGGCAAGUCACUUGACCCCCAUUGCCUAGCCCUUACCACUCUUCUGCCUUGGAGCCAGUACACAGUAUUGACUCCAAGACGGAAGGUAAGGGUUUAAAAAACAAAACAAAACCUAGAAUGUAUGGAGAAGAGGAUGCUCAACAGUGGCAAAGGCUACAGAAAGGUAUUUUCACUGAGGGAUGAGAAAAGACCAAAAAAUUUGGCAACUAAGAGACUAUUAGAAUAACUUUGGAAAGAGUAGCUUCAGUUGAAUGAUAAGGUCAAACACUGGACGUAGAGAAUUAAGGAAAAAAGUAAAAAGAAAAGAAGUUGAGGAACCUUUUAGAGAUAGCCUCUUCAAUAAUUUUAGCCACAAGAAGCAGGAGAGAUAUGGAAUGACAAUUAGUUUAUUCUUAGGUAUGAGUGUGACAGGAGAAAAAGCUAAGGACUAGAAUUCCAGAAGCUUUAUUUACUUUGGUCAAAUUAGAUCGUACUCAGUCUGGUGUCACCUCUCAGCUCCAUCAACUUAUAGAAAAUGCAGUGACUCCCCAUGCUUGAUGUGAUACCUACAUGCCUAUGUUGAAAUCUCUGCCAGCAGAAGUCAGUUUGGAAGGAACUCUAACCUUCAUUAACAUGAACAGGAUUUCAUCUUUCUCCUCAAGAUCUAGAGCAUUGUGUCAAGGGAGGUCUGCCCUCUGUCUGAGAAGUCUCCCAUCUAUAACUCUUUGGGGGACAUUUCUGUACUGGUCAAAUAUUGGUGUGGGGAAGGUCAGGCUCUUCUAUAACCCUCAUCUCCAUCCAAGCAACCAGAAGGAGUUAGUUAUAUUAUGACACUGGAAAGGAUAAUGGAGCUGGGGACACAUUUUAACAGAGUAGCUCCUCCACCAACUUUUCUGGUUCAAAUGACCUGUUCCUUAGUGCCAUCUUCAUCUUUGCUUUCUCCAAGGAAUAGUACUUACAGUCAGUUUCCUAUACCCUGAAGGCACUACCCUGAUCUCUUGAAAUUUGGGAAUCUGAACUGGUAGAAUUUGGAAAACAAUGUCCUAUGCCUGAUAAAGGAUACUCCCUGCCCCUACUGUCAGCAAAGGGCCAACCUCCUAAAUAAAACAGAGAUACCUUUCUUUUUUUUCUCUA